rnacentral:rRNA from 1 species
CGCAUCUGUGCAUGCAGCAUAUCAAUAAGCGGAGGAAAAGUAACUAACAAGGAUUCCCUUAGUAACGGCGAGUGAAGCGGGAAGAGCUCAAAUUUGAAAUCUUCAAGGUUUUACCUUGACGAAUUGUAGUUUAAAGAAGUGUUUUCUGUUGAAGUUUUGGUAAAAGUUCUUUGGAAUAGGACAUCAUAGAGGGUGAGAAUCCCGUAUUUGACCAUUAUUUUCAGCUGUGUGAUACACUUUCAAAGAGUCGGAUUGUUUGGGAAUGCAGUCCAAAAUGGGUGGUAAAUUUCAUCUAAAGCUAAAUAUUGGCGAGAGACCGAUAGCGAACAAGUACCGUGAGGGAAAGAUGAAAAGAACUUUGAAAAGAGAGUUAAACAGUACGUGAAAUUGUCAAAAGGGAAGCGUUUGACACCAGUGUUGUUUUCUCGAAAAUCCAAUUAAAAAGAGUUAGAUUUUGUUGUGUAUUGACCUUAACAGCUUGCAUUUCAAUUUUCUUGCUUUUUUUAAUGCACUUUUCGUUUAACAAGUCAACAUCAGUUUCUUUUGUUGUAAAAAGGUCAUUGGAAGGUGGCUUUCUUUUCGGAGAAAGUGUUUAUAGCCUUUGACUCCUGCAAUCGGAGAGACUGAGGUCUGCAGCGUAGAUCCUUCGGGGUUAGAUACAUUUGUGCUAAGUUAUAGCUUUUUAUAGACAACUUGUUGACUAUGAUUAGUCUUGUAGCUUACUCGCUUAUGCUAUUUUACCUACGCUUAGGAUGUUGACAAACGCGCGUGCUCG